rnacentral:misc_RNA from 1 species
CAACACUCAAGCUUAGCUUGGUCUUGAGCCCUGCCGGUAAUACGGCUGGCUUUAAAAUCAGUGGCGGCGCCAUUAGGCUCUCAGCGUAGUAAUACUCCUCGCUAGUGAGUUCUAGUGGUUGCUGGCCAGUAACCCCAACUUCUAA